GACGAACGCUGGCGGCGUGCUUAACACAUGCAAGUCGAACGGACAGGCCCUGCUUUUGUGGGGUGGUCGAUUGGCGAACGGGUGAGUAACACGUGUGUAACCUGCCCUUGACUUUGGGAUAACUUCACGAAACUGGGGCUCAUACCGGAUAGGAUCUCUUGCUGCAUGGUGGGGGUUGGUAAGUUUCGGCGGUUGGGGAUGGUCUCGCAGCUUAUCAGCUUGUUGGUGGGGUAGUGGCUUACCAAGGCUUUGACGGGUACCCGGCCUGAGAGGGUGACCGGCCACAUUGGGACUGAGAUACGGCCCAGAAUCCUACGGGAGGCAGCAGUGGGGAGUAUUGCACAAUGGGCGGAAGCCUGAUGCAGCAACGCCGCGUGCGGGAUGACGGCCUUCGAGUUGUAAACCGCUUUCGCAGGUGACGAAGCGUGAGUGACGGUAAUUGGUAAGGAAGCACCGGCUAACUACGUG
rnacentral:rRNA from 1 species